rnacentral:rRNA from 1 species
GACGUAGGGGGCCAGCGUUGUUCGGAAUUACUGGGUGUAAAGGGUUCGUAGGCGGUGUGGCAAGUCGGGAGUGAAAUCUCUGGGCUCAACCCAGAGUCUGCUUCCGAAACUGCUGUGCUUGAGUGUGGGAGAGGCGCGUGGAAUUGCAGGUGUAGCGGUGAAAUGCGUAGAUAUCUGCAGGAACACCCGUGGCGAAAGCGGCGCGCUGGACCACUACUGACGCUGAGGAACGAAAGCUAGGGGAGCAAACGGG